ACGGCGCCAAGGCGAAGUGCAUCGUCCGUGCCCCCCACAUGGCGACCCCCUGUAGGAUGAACUCGGAGGAAUCGUCGUCCCUAGCUCUGGGUCCGAGAAUCGUGGCGAUGAACCAGUUCAUCAGCAAGCUGCAGACGGAGAACAAGGUCAAGGAGAAGGAGCUUGAUCAGGUCAGCAGAGAGCUGGCGAGGAAGGAGGGAGAAGUGGCCGACCUGAGGGCUAAGCUGACCGCUAUGGAGCUCCGGGGGCAGACACUCAAGGAAGAAGAGAUCAGAUCAAUAGUCGACGAGAGGACGCAGAUGCUGAGGCUGGAGCUAGAGAAGAUGGAAGCGAAGGUGCAGCGGCAGGAAGAGGAGCUCGGGAUCCUGCGGCAGCAGCUGGGGAAUGAGGAACACGGGAAGGGUGGCGGCAGGGGUGGCGAGAAUGGUCAAAUGGGAGACGACCUAUCGCUCCAUUCAAUAGGUGGCAGCUUCAUGAAGCGCCUGUCUGAACUAUAUUCAGAAGAUGAUGCAAGAAUGGAGAAAUCAAUGGAGCUGGAUACAGGCGACUAUCAUCAACCGGCCUGCUGUGAUGACGUGAAAGAAAUAAGAGAGGAUCCUCACCGCAAUCAUCCGAGCCGCUUCGCUGGCUCUCCGUGCUGUCUGGGAAUGGAGGAAGACGAUGACAUGGCUGCAGCGAGCUUCGCCGAUAAGGUGUUCUUGAGCACGGUCUUUGAAGCGGACGAGGAGGAGGAAGCAGAGUCGGAAGGUGCAGAGCAGGAGGUGGUGGAGAAGGAGGUUGUAGAAGACGACCCAUUCAGCGGCGGAAAGAGUAUGAGCUCGGAUGGCGUGUGCGACGCCGAUUCUGACCGAAGAACGAGAAUCCAUAAUAUAUUCAGGCUCUGUGGGAGUCAUAGGGAGCUGGUUAAACACGCCGAGAUCUUCGUACCUGUGAGCAAACCUGAGACUGCAGUCGUCCCCGGGGAAUUGGGGUCCCAGGCUCUUCCUCCUCAGCAGGAUUUCAAAUUGGCCGAAUGCCCAGUCCCAUCAGUUGACCAAUCUAAACACUUGGCGCCACCGCAAAUGCCCAAGAGAACCACAUCUUCAGAGAAGGAGAACGAUGGACCCGCCGGGGUUGGUGCUCUGCAGGAUGUCUACGUGAAAUGGGAGGCGUCAACGCGAGACUCUUCUGGGGAUCUGAUCAAGAAACUCAGGGUGUUAGAGGACUCGAAUCUUACUGAGCUGAGGAAGCUGAUCGAAGCCCAUCUCGAUGAAAUGGACGUCGAUCAAGAAUUCACGUUUCUCUCGCUGGGGGUGUGCUCCUCUCUCUCUCGUUUUCAGUGAAGUCAUUGAAUAUACACGAUGGGUGCUUUAACUGAGC
rnacentral:lncRNA from 1 species